rnacentral:rRNA from 1 species
UGGCGCACGGGUGCGUAACGCGUGGGAAUCUGCCCUUUGGUUCGGAAUAACAGUUGGAAACGACUGCUAAUACCGGAUGAUGACGAAAGUCCAAAGAUUUAUCGCCAGAGGAUGAGCCCGCGUAGGAUUAGCUAGUUGGCGUGGUAAAGGCGCACCAAGGCGACGAUCCUUAGCUGGUCUGAGAGGAUGAUCAGUCACACUGGGACUGAGACACGGCCCAG